rnacentral:rRNA from 1 species
CGAGACUCCUACGGGAGGCAGCAGUGAGGAAUAUUGGUCAAUGGCCGGAAGGCUGAACCAGCCAAGCCGCGUGAAGGACGAAGGUGCCAAGCAUUGUAAACUUCUUUUGUCAAGGGACAAAAUCAGGCUCGAGAGCCUGACCGAGGGUACUUGAAGAAAAAGCAUCGGCUAACUCCGUGCCAGCAGCCGCGGUAAUACGGAGGAUGCGAGCGUUAUCCGGAUUUAUUGGGUUUAAAGGGAGCGUAGAUGGGUUGUUAAGUCAGUUGUGAAAGUUUGCGGCUCAACCGUAAAAUUGCAAUUGAUACUGGCAGCCUUGAGUACAGUUGAGGUAGGCGGAAUGCGUGGUGUAGCGGUGAAAUGCAUAGAUAUCACGCAGAACGCCGAUUGCGAAGGCAGCUUACCGGCGCUCAACUGACGCUGAGGCACGAAAGUGCGGGUAUCGAACAGGAUUAGAUACCCCCGUA